CGAAGAGCACGGUGGUGGGUAACGCCCACCCGGGGUGACCCGCGGGACAGUGCCACAGAAAGCAGACCGCCCACCCGCCUCGGCGGCGUGGGUAAGGGUGAAACGGUGGUGCAAGAGACCACCAGCACCCCCGGUGACGGGGGUGGCUAGGCAAACCCCACCGGGAGCAAGACCAAGAAGGCGCCCUCCUGCAGAGGAGGACGCCGCGGGAGCGUUCGAGGGCUGCUCGCCCGAGCUCCCGGGUAGGUCGCACCAGGCCGCUGGCAACAGCGGUCGCAGAUGGAUGAUCGCCCCCUCCGCUCCGGCGGGGGG
rnacentral:misc_RNA from 1 species